rnacentral:rRNA from 1 species
AUUGAACGCUGGCGGCAGGCCUAACACAUGCAAGUCGAGCGGAUGAAGAGAGCUUGCUCUCUGAUUCAGCGGCGGACGGGUGAGUAAUGCCUAGGAAUCUGCCUGGUAGUGGGGGACAACGUUUCGAAAGGAACGCUAAUACCGCAUACGUCCUACGGGAGAAAGCAGGGGACCUUCGGGCCUUGCGCUAUCAGAUGAGCCUAGGUCGGAUUAGCUAGUAGGUGAGGUAAUGGCUCACCUAGGCGACGAUCCGUAACUGGUCUGAGAGGAUGAUAAGUCACACUGGAACUGAGACACGGUCCAGACUCCUACGGGAGGCAGCAAUGGGGAAUAUUGGACAAUGGGCGAAAGCCUGAUCCAGCCAUGCCGCGUGUGUGAAGAAGGUCUUCGGAUUGUAAAGCACUUUAAGUUGGGAGGAAGGGCAGUAAGUUAAUACCUUGCUGUUUUGACGUUACCAACAGAAUAAGCACCCGCUAACUUCGUGCCAGCCGCCGCAGUAA